AGAGUUUGAUCCUGGCUCAGACGAACGCUGGCGGCGUGCUUAACACAUGCAAGUCGAACGAUGAACCAUUUCGGUGGGGAUUAGUGGCGAACGGGUGAGUAACACGUGGGCAAUCUGCCCUGCACUCUGGGACAAGCCCUGGAAACGGGGUCUAAUACCGGAUAAUACCCACUCUCGCAUGGGGGUGGGUUCAAAGCUCCGGCGGUGCAGGAUGAGCCCGCGGCCUAUCAGCUUGUUGGUGAGGUAGUGGCUCACCAAGGCGACGACGGGUAGCCGGCCUGAGAGGGCGACCGGCCACACUGGGACUGAGACACGGCCCAGACUCCUACGGGAGGCAGCAGUGGGGAAUAUUGCACAAUGGGCGAAAGCCUGAUGCAGCGACGCCGCGUGAGGGAUGACGGCCUUCGGGUUGUAAACCUCUUUCAGCAGGGAAGAAGCGCAAGUGACGGUACCUGCAGAAGAAGCGCCGGCUAACUACGUGCCAGCAGCCGCGGUAAUACGUAGGGCGCAAGCGUUGUCCGGAAUUAUUGGGCGUAAAGAGCUCGUAGGCGGUCUGUCGCGUCGGAUGUGAAAGCCCGGGGCUUAACCCCGGGUCUGCAUUCGAUACGGGCAGACUAGAGUGUGGUAGGGGAGAUCGGAAUUCCUGGUGUAGCGGUGAAAUGCGCAGAUAUCAGGAGGAACACCGGUGGCGAAGGCGGAUCUCUGGGCCAUUACUGACGCUGAGGAGCGAAAGCGUGGGGAGCGAACAGGAUUAGAUACCCUGGUAGUCCACGCCGUAAACGGUGGGAACUAGGUGUUGGCGACAUUCCACGUCGUCGGUGCCGCAGCUAACGCAUUAAGUCCCCGCCUGGGGAGUACGGCCGCAAGGCUAAAACUCAAAGGAAUUGACGG
rnacentral:rRNA from 1 species